rnacentral:lncRNA from 1 species
GUCUCCAACUCCCAACCUCAGGUGAUCUGCUUGCCUCAACCUCCCAAAGUGCUGGGAUUACAGGUGUUAGCCACCACACCUAGGCUAACAUUCUUUCAAGUGCAUCCUGUUUGCAAAACUUAGAUUACCAAGAGUUCAAAGACUUUUUAAAAAGUUCCAAAAAAAUUUUUCUUAUUCUCUUUUUCCUUAAGGGAUUUAGAUUAUGUGUAGAUAUUUUUCUCUGCUUUCUUGAAAUAUCUGUAAACCAUAUUAACAGUUAAAUAAACUUUGUCUUUUUUUUUUUUUUUUUUUUUACUUUAGAUUAUCUUUUCUAGUACAUCUGAUUUAUUGGUUUAUUUCUAAUUUUAAAAAGUUUGUUUCUCUCCUUUUUAGGACUUUUUUUUUUUUUGGAUGGAGUUUCAGUUUUGUUGCCCAGGCUGGAGUGCAAUGGCAUGAUCUUGACUCACCAAAACCUCCACCUCCCAGGUUCAAGGGAUUCUCUGGCCUCAGCCUCCCGAGUAGUUGGGAUUACAGUCACGUGCCACCAUACCCAACUAAUUUUGUUUUUUUAGUAGAAACGGGGUUUCUCCAUAUUCCUCAGGCUGGUCUCAAAUUCCCAAACUCAAGUGAUCUGCCCGCCUCAGCCUCCCAAAGUGCUGGGAUUACAGGCAUGAACCACCAUGCCUGGCCCAUUUUUAGUCCUUUAAAGUAAACACAAAUGUGUUUAGAUAAAAGCUCAUUUUAAGAGCACACAGAAGCUUAGCAGAAACAUAGGAUUAAAUUUAGCAAUAUGGAAUGAGAAACGCUAAAAGAUACUAAGUUUCUUUGAAAGUAACUUUAUUAUCCAAGGUAAUUAUCCAACAUUUGCAGGCUGAAGUACUUACACAGCAAAAACAAAAAGAGUUCAGUGCAUAAACUGAACAGUAGAGUCUGUAGUUGUACUUGGCUUUCUAUUGAUGACUUCAGAACAAUUAGCAUAGUUAUGUGUAGUGUUUGCAGACACUACACAUAACAAUACAUUCAUAUACAUUAAACAGUUUUCUUUUUCUUUUUUUUUAAUUUUUCUUUGAGACAGAGUCUCACUCUUGCCCAGGCUGGAGUGUAGGGGCGUGUUCUGCUCACUGCAACCACUGGGACCCAGGCUCAAGUGAUUUCUCCUGCCUCAGCCUCCUGAGUAGCUGGGAUUACAGGCACACCCCACCAUGCCUGGCUAAGUUUUUGUAUUUUUAGUAGAGAUGGGGUAUCACCGUGUUGGCCAGCUUGAUUGUGAACUCUUGACCUCAGGUGAUCCACACACCUCAGUCUCCCAAAGUGCUGGGAUUAUAGGCAUGAGCCAUAAACAGUAUUUUUUACAAUAGUAUGAAUAUAAAGCCACAAUACUUACUUUGAAUGAAUCACUUAAAUGGUUAUUUUAAUAUUGUUAUUUACACUUUUGAAAUAUAAACUAUUUUAACUGAAGUAUAGUUAAACUUUUUAACUGCCAUAUACAUUACUACUAGUUUAUUAAAAUUAUUUAUACUUAGAUAUUUAAUCUAAUACCCCAAAAAAUUUACUACCAAAUUGUUACAGUCAAUACUAGUCUGACAUGUUUAUUACUUUAUUCAAUAGGGAUAAUUAUAAGUAAACACAAUUUUAGUAUCUUUUAUUUCACUCAAUUGGAAUGCUGCUAUUACAAAUGAAAUAAAGACAGUUGAUGUGGCCACCCAAAAACCAUGAUAGCUCUUCAGUUAACUAUGUUGGAAGUUCUAAUAUACUCCACAAUGUGAACACAGUCAGAUUCUAUUUCUGCAUCAAAAAGUGUUGUUGGAAGUUGUCAGAUAUAUUUCAAUAUAGAACCCCCAUUCAAUGACUAGGAGAUGAGAGAGCAGCAGAGAUGGGAAAAAAAGCUUUAUAAAAUUCUUCUGAAAUUCUGCCCCCUUUCUUCAUAAUGCUCAUGUUUCUCAUGCUGAGAGUAAUUGUGCACUUUGGGUGGUUAGAGAGAAAUUGCUUUUAGGGGACUAUUUUCUGGCUGACUUGAUCAAUCUUAUAUCUAAACUGAGCUUUUUCUCAAGAUCUUUUUUCUCAAGAUCUUUUUAACUUUUUUCUCUCAAAAUUAUCUUGCUCAGAUGGAGAUCUGUUUUUCUCUCCAAUACUUUGGGUGUCUGUUUCAGAAGCCCUAUUAGUAUCCCAUGGUGUCUGAAUGAGGUAGGCUGUCACAGUGAGAACUUUUGUAGAUAUCUCUAUCUGGACUCAUGCUGGAAAUUCAUCCGAUUUUUUUUCCAUGUCACCAUGAUAAUUAAAAACGGGCUGAAACACUGGUCACAUUCCCAUUAUUGUGAAAGUGCAAUUCUACUCACAAGGCCUGCAGGCUCUCCUGCAGCUCAGGCUUUCCUCUCUGAUGUGACACUAGAGUGCUGCUGUGGGAAAUGUGGUUCACAUAAACUGAGCUGUGCUCAAGGCUGUCCCUCAGUGGCAGAUGAGAGAGGUCAAGAGGACACUAGCAACCAGGAAAAAGCAAGAAAGUGCUGUAGCCCAAUGCCAUGGAACACAGAGCCACUGCUGUAAAAUGUAAAUAGCCAAAAGGAUAGAAUGCUUUUCAACCAUUUUUGUAGCAGAGUGAAAACCUACCUUCAGCAAGUACCUGGCUUCAAGCUGCUAAACUACCUCCUGUUAUGAAGGUGUGAAAAGUUUUUUUGUUAUUGAAUAUAAACAAUUAGCAUAUACAGAUGGCCUCUUCAAUCUCCAUGUGAAUUUAGGAUGAACUAUGUAUGACAUGGUUCUGGAAAUUCUACUUGUGGACUAAUUUUGGUGACCAUCUUUCUGUCUCUGCAGUCUCUUAAGCAGAUUGACUAUGAUGCAUGUCACAUAAAACAGUUUUCUUUCUGUUCUAUUGUGGAGUUUUUCUGGGGCUGGAGAACAUUCUUUUGUUAUUUCCAAACACUGUCUAUAAUUACCAGACAUGAUAUAAACACAUAAGGUGCCAACUGGAAUUUACUCUAGAGGGGACUUUCCCUCUCAGACUUCCAGUCAACUCACACUUGUGCAACAAAGUGCAUGCUGUCCCCUAAAUAUGCAAGCAGAACUGUGUUUCUGCCUAUUUGGUAUCUAUAGUCCUCUACAGUCACUUCUAGAGAGACUAAACCAAAUUUCUACCAACUUCACAGGGCAACAAUCAAUAGUUUUAUCUCAAUGACUCUUGUAUCUUCAGACCUUAAACUGAUUCAGAGACCAUGGGGCCCACAAACCUAAUCAGAGUAACGUUUUCAUUGAGUACACAUUCAGACAUGAGAAUCUUCACUUUCCCCUUUUUUCUCUUGGUAAAAUGUUCACAAAUGUGCAGGUAACACCUGCUGCUACUCCAGCCAUUCGGGCCCUAAAUCUGCAGCUCUACAUUUUGUAUCUAGGUCUUGAGAUUUGGGAAAUAGAAAAUUUUUAUCUAAAAAUGCAAGUCCUUUUGGUUAUCAAACUCAGACAUUGAAAUGAAAGUGCAGUUACGCCUUUCUCCUCCUUUGAAAUAUGUAUUCAUCUCUUGAAACUGUUCACUAUUGCCACAAGUAGAUGUAUAUUAAACUGAUAAUACCACAUUGGACACUGUAUCUCAUACCCUAAACCAUAAUGAUAUAUGUCCAAUCAAUAACCAAUGUUACUUCUUUAAAUAAAAAUUUCUGACAACUCUAUCAGCCCACUCUCUGUCCCUUUGUUUUUGUCUUCACAACUCCUCUUGCAACUGCUGUUAAUGAAAGUGUAGAUUCUAGGCAACUUCAGUCUUUGCUCCCAGGUUAUAAUCCUUAAACUUCACCCAAAUAAACUGUCUACUUACAUUCAUGUUGUGUCAGCUUUUUUUUUUUUUUCAUGUAGGCUUAAUACUUAGAAAGUGCUAGAGCAGCCUCUAUUAGGGGAUCUCUUCUCUGAUUGUACUCCACUUGCUGUAACACCAAAGGAUGCAGAACCAGGUUCUGUAGCAGAAAUUGCUGGUGUCUGUGGCAGGGGAGGGCACCUGAGGACAGGGAAGAAGAAACAUAUUUUUAUCUUUAUGGAGCAGCACAUUGUUCCCAAAUACCUUCUGCUUUAAGGGACAGAAAUGGAUGGACUUUUUCUGUCUUUUCUGCCAGUUGAUGUCAUGCUUGCAGGGACCAUUGCAGUUUAGAGACGUGGCCAUAGAAUUCUCUCUGGAGGAGUGGCAUUGCCUGGACACUGCACAGCGGAAUUUAUAUAGGGAUGUGAAGUUUCAGAACUACAGAAACUUGGUCUUCCUUUAGAUUAUAUUUUCUUCCAUCUUCCGCAUCCUCCUGUUCUUCAGCCAAUAAAUGAAAAAAGAUACAGAGAAGACACAUUUGCUUUUU